rnacentral:rRNA from 1 species
GAUGAACGCUGGCGGCGUGCUUAACACAUGCAAGUCGAACGGAAAGGCCCAAGCUUGCUUGGGUACUCGAGUGGCGAACGGGUGAGUAACACGUGGGUGAUCUGCCCUGCACUUCGGGAUAAGCCUGGGAAACUGGGUCUAAUACCGGAUAGGACCACUUCUUGGAUGUUGUGGUGGAAAGUUUUUUCGGUGUGGGAUGAGCUCGCGGCCUAUCAGCUUGUUGGUGGGGUAAUGGCCUACCAAGGCGUCGACGGGUAGCCGGCCUGAGAGGGUGUACGGCCACAUUGGGACUGGGAUACGGCCCAGACUCCUACGGGAGGCAGCAGUGGGGAAUAUUGCACAAUGGGCGCAAGCCUGAUGCAGCGACGCCGCGUGGGGGAUGACGGCCUUCGGGGUGUAAACUCCUUUCGCUAGGGACGAAGCGUUUUUGUGACGGUACCUGGAGAAGAAGCACCGGCUAACUACGUG